rnacentral:tRNA from 1 species
GCCACAGUAGCUUAAUUGGUAAAGCACGGCCAUGGUAAGGCUGAGAGCCUGGGUUCGAUCCCCAGCUGUGGCU